CUCUAUAAAUACAAAAACCAAAAUCUCCGCAACCAAAAAAAAAUUGAUUUGAAUUUCCCAAACUUUUUGUGAAAAUCUUGUUUACUGUAAAACUUCAAACCCUUAAAAAAUUUGUUAUUGAUCGGAGCUAUUUCUUCUGUUGUUACUUUGUUUUGUUUUUAAAAUAAGUUAAAUUAGGUCCAGAUUAAUUUUUGGUUCUUGAUUGAUGAUUUUGGGAGAAAUCUAAUGGCAAAAAUGGUUCAAGAUUCCAUUAAACCUCAAGAUGUAUGCAUUGUGGGUGUUGCUCGAACGCCUAUGGGUGGUUUCCUUGGUUCUCUCUCGUCUUUGUCUGCUACAGAGCUUGGUUCUGCAGCAAUCCGAGCUGCCCUUAAGAGAGCAAAUGUAGAUCCAUCCCUUGUUCAAGAGGUCUUCUUUGGAAAUGUUCUCAGCGCAAACUUAGGUCAAGCCCCUGCUAGACAGGCUGCCUUAGGAGCUGGGAUACCUUAUUCAGUGAUUUGCACGACCAUUAACAAAGUGUGCUCUUCAGGACUUAAAGCAACAAUGAUUGCAGCCCAGACUAUACAAUCAGGAGCCAAUGAUAUCGUUGUGACUGGUGGCAUGGAAAGCAUGUCUAAUGUACCAAAAUACAUAGCUCAAGCAAGGAAGGGGUCUCGUCUAGGGCAUGAUACUGUUGUAGAUGGCAUGCUAAAAGAUGGACUCUGGGAUGUCUAUAAUGAUUUCGGCAUGGGCGUCUGUGCAGAACUAUGUGCUGAUCAGUAUAAAAUUACAAGAGAAGAGCAGGAUUCUUAUGCUAUUCAAAGCUUUGAGCGAGGAAUUGCUGCACAACGUAGUGGUGCAUUUGCUUGGGAAAUAGUACCAGUAGAGAUUUCUGGUGGAAGAGGAAGACCAUCUAGUAUUGUCGAUAAAGAUGAAGGCUUAAUAAAGUUUGAUGCCUCCAAACUAAGAAAGCUUAGACCAAGUUUCAAGGAGAAUGGAGGUUCUGUUACUGCAGGCAACGCUUCCAUUAUAAGUGAUGGCGCUGCAGCAUUAGUUCUGGUGAGUGGAAAAAAGGCGAUUGAACUUGGAUUGCAAGUAAUCGGUAGGAUCAGAGGAUUUGCAGAUGCAGCUCAGGCACCUGAAUUAUUUCCAACAGCUCCAGCUCUUGCUAUACCAAAAGCAAUUAAGAAUUCUGGCCUCGAGUCAUCUCAAAUUGAUUAUUAUGAAAUAAACGAAGCGUUCUCUGUUGUGGCUCUGGCCAACCAAAGACUGCUCAAUCUUAAUUCGGGAAAACUAAAUGCACACGGUGGAGCUGUGUCAUUGGGACAUCCUCUAGGGUGCGGUGGAGCUAGAAUUCUGGUAACUCUUUUAGGGGAGGUCAGGGGUUUGAGCAGGGCUGCAUACAACAAACCCUUAUGAUCUGGCCCUUCUCCAGACCUCGUGCAUACCAGGAGCUUAGCUAGUGCAUCGGACUGCCCUUUUAUUUGGACUUUCAUAUUCUGCUAGUCAUUGAUUUGAUAUGAUAUGGCCAUAUUCUAUACGUAGAUAUUGAUAGAUUGUUUUCGUAAUGGACAACUGAUUAGUAUCUGCAGAAUGUUGUUGCUUUUGAUUUGUCUCACACAAAUAUAACUAUGUUUCAGGUAUUGAAGCAAAAGAAUGCGAAAUUUGGUGUUGCUGGAGUCUGUAACGGGGGAGGAGGAGCAUCUGCCCUCGUUGUAGAGUUCAUGCAUGUAGGGAUGGUAGCGCGUUCCUCACUUUGAAACUGGAAAAACUUCUUUGCACUAUCCGCGCCAACAGUAGCAAGACGUCUAAAUCUUUUACUUGUCGAAAACUAUAUUAGCAAUGGUCUAAAGGUUCAACUUAUAUACAUUGACAGUAUAAGCGUUUUAUACAAUAAUAGUGUAUUGCAACUUCUUAUA